rnacentral:ncRNA from 2 species
UAAAUUUAUAAUUUUAUAGGUGUUGCAUAAACUUAAUAAGGAAACCAGUUGGAAUCUGGUACAGCCACCUCUACUGUGAUACUGACGAAAGUAUUGAAAAACCACUGAAAUAUCAUUAUAUUUUGGGAAGGAUACGAGUAGGAUGAAGUUAGUCAGGAGACUUGCCUAUAUAAUAAAGUUAUA